rnacentral:rRNA from 1 species
AUUGAACGCUGGCGGCAGGCUUAACACAUGCAAGUCGAGCGGGGUGAUGGUGCUUGCACUAUCACUUAGCGACGGACGGGUGAGUAAUGCUUAGGAAUCUGCCUAUUAGUGGGGGACAACAUCUCGAAAGGGAUGCUAAUACCGCAUACGUCCUACGGGAGAAAGCAGGGGAUCACUUGUGACCUUGCGCUAAUAGAUGAGCCUAAGUCGGAUUAGCUAGUUGGUGGGGUAAAGGCCUACCAAGGGGACGAUCUGUAGCCGGUCUGAGAGGAUGAUCCGCCACACUAGGACUUAGACACGGCCCAGACUCCUACGGGAGGCAGCAGUGGGGAAUAUUGGACAGUGGGGGGAACCUUGAUCCAGCCAUGCCGCGUGUGUGAAGAAGGCCUUAUGGUUGUAAGCACUUUAAGCGAGGAGGAGGCUCUUUUGGUUAAUACCCAAGAUGAGUGGACGUUACUCGCAGAAUAAGCACCGGCUAACUCUGUGCCAGCAGCCGCAGUAA